UACUGUUUAGUAUGGAAGUAUGCGAUUUCGGACGCAGCCUAAUUAACAAACAAACGAGAGAUCCUGCAGGACGAGUGGCGCUGAGGUCUGAACAGCGGGAAUCAGCAGCAGCAGCAGCGGCAGGACAGUCUGAGCAGAUGAAGAAUUACGGGAAGGACGAGACUGAAGCUAAGUUAAUUAAAAAUCAGUCGAGUUAAAGCAGUUGAAUCACUGGAGCAAUAAUUGAUUGUGUUAGCUGUAUCGAAUGAUAUCAGAAAAUAGGAAUUCUCCUAAAUGGGAGAGGACAGGAUAUCGAGAGAGAGGACGCGAGAGGCGCUAGGUGCUGCAGGAAGCAAUUACCAUCGAUAAUUUUUUUCUAAUAAACUUGUAUCCUUCAGAUGAUAACCAAUUAAACAUGCGUAAUUACGGCUCCCGUAUAGUUAUUCAUAAGACGAUUAGCAUGUCUGCCUUACUUCUAGAUUAGCCGCAUACUGAUGAGGCGCAGGUUAAGCGGCGGAUCUGGUGAUACACAUGCAAAUUUCAUGCAAAUGUGCGUGCAAAAAUAGCAGGGAGGCGACGUCAUUAAUGGCGUUGCUAAUAGGUCAUUUGCAUGCUGUUUACUCUGAUUGUACUGACGACAGGAGUCACCGGAACCGGCCGGUUCUACAGAGGCCUGGCGAGGAGCGGCGGGUCCACUGGCGGGUCCACUGGCGGGUCCACUGGCGGGUCCACUGGCAGGUCCACUGGCGGGUCCUCUGGCAGGUCCACUGGCAGGUCCAACGAAGAGCCAGAACUCAUCAUUUACAUCAUAGGGUUGUGAGUGUUGGGUGAGUUCUCUCAGCCGCCUAAUGCACAGCAAGACCUUCGGCUGGAGACGGGGGGCUUCAGCAUUGUCAUGACAACACCACUACACAAACGGAAUACGAUGCGAGUGUAUGUGCGCGAGAGUGUGUGCGAGUGUGUGUGAGAGUAAGAGUACCCACCUUUAGCCAUUUUAUUCAACACCAUGUCUAUCAGGAUGUAGGUCCCACUCCUGCCUGACCCGUCACUGCAGAGAAAGAGAGCAAAGAAAGAGUCAGAAACAUUAAAAAGAGAAAAAGAAGAGAGGGAAAUUAAGAAAAAUACAGAGAAAGUGAGAGAGAGAGGGAGAGAGAAAGAGAGAACAGCGUUUGAAUGAGAAUAAACUGUUCAUUUGUUGGAGCUGUUGCA
rnacentral:lncRNA from 1 species